rnacentral:lncRNA from 1 species
AGCAGAAGAUUUUUAGAGCAGACGACGGCAUAGGGGUUGCAAUUUCUGGACUGACUGCGGAUGGAACAGCUGCAAUUAGGGCGUUGAGACAAGACUGCACUUCCCAUAGCUUCACAUUUCAGUCCCAGGUCGAGGUUUGUAGACUUGCUGGGAGAAUCGCUGAUAAGUGGCAGGUGGUGAAAAUGUCAUGAUGCGUUCAGCCUACAGACUAUGACAUUCAGCUGUAAUCUUGCAGGUCUGUUCGCAAAGAUCUGGGUCCAGACCUUCUGGGGUUGGAUUGCUGAUAGCAGGAAGGGAUAUGCGAGGUUGUCACCUGUAUCAAGUUUGCCCCUCGGGAAACUUGUACGAUCAUGUCGCCGCAGCUAUAGGUAUGUUUCUAUGAUCAUAUAUUCGUCUGUCCUGCUAUCCAACUGUUUUCUCACAGAUAUGAG